rnacentral:rRNA from 1 species
CCUACGUGUGGCAGCAGUGAGGAAUAUUGGUCAAUGGGCGCGAGCCUGAACCAGCCAAGUAGCGUGAAGGAUGACUGCCCUACGGGUUGUAAACUUCUUUUAUAAAGGAAUAAAGUGCGGCACGUGUGCCUUUUUGUAUGUACUUUAUGAAUAAGGAUCGGCUAACUCCGUGCCAGCAGCCGCGGUAAUACGGAGGAUCCGGGAGUUAUCCGGAUUUAUUGGGUUUAAAGGGAGCCUAGAUGGGUUGUUAAGUCAGUUGUGAAAGUUUGCGGCUCAACCGUAAAAUUGCCAUUGAUACUGGCAGUCUUGAGUACAGUUGAGGUAGGCGGAAUUCGUGGUGUAGCGGUGAAAUGCUUAGAUAUCACGAAGAACCCCGAUUGCGAAGGCAGCUUACUAAACUGCCACUGACAUUGAUGCUCGAAAGUGUGGGUAUCAAACAGGAUUAGAUACCCGAGUAGUC